GCGUGUGCGGACUAAUUAGAAGUUGCUACAAGUGUGACAUACAUUUGGUCAAAGUUAGUGUUUUCUGAUGAGUUAACGAGCUGUUUCAAGACCGCCUUAUUUUAAGCGCGAAAAAUAAGAGGGCGGCUGGCUAAUGCUGGAAGAGGAGGCUAACUGUGGAAACAGCUUCAUAGCAAACGUGGAGGAUAACGAGGUCGAGAGGAGCGUAAAGAUGACGACUGUCUGAAUGAGCUGCAUGAAUAUGGCCGCAAGCUCUCCCAGAAGGAUCUCUUCACACUGUGGGAUGAUGGUCAACACCAACCCUGAGACCUGACGCCACCCCCCAUCCGUCCUCACAACCAGUGUUACUUCAGCCUCUCUGCCUCCUCUUGGAUGUUUCUCACUGUGGGCUAAGUGGCAUUCCCUUUAGGGGAGAUAUCUGGUGCUUGAUUCAAAAGGUCAGCUGCUCUUUUCACUGCUGGUUCACCCUGAAGGUUAAAAUCCACCAAUGAACAGUUGGAGGCACUGGGAGUCAGAGAAGAUCCAGGGUUGGGCGUGCGGAAGGUUAAG